AGAAGGGCGGCAUAUAAAUCAAAUUUAAAAAAAAAAAUUAAGCUCUUUUCAUUUGAGGGCUAAAUUGGCACUGUCUUCCUCUUUUCUUCCUGCAUUCCUAUUUAUGAGUCUAAAAUAUUGGCUACUUCUCCUCAAAUGCUUCUUAAUAUCCCCCUCUUUUAUUCAGUUCCAUGAGUACAGUUAAGAUGUUUUCCUAAGAUUUCCUGUUCUUCUUCUGUAAACCUUGUGGCUGCUGAAAGGCUGACUUUCAACAAGGAGCUGGCUGGUUUUGAUGAUACUUGAAGAACAACUUGGAGCUUACAGACCACAACCAUUUCCUUUUAAGGCUGAGCUGGAACUAAGGAGGCUUCCUAUUCUAACAAGCAAAUCAGAAGUUUGGCUCAUCUGAUGAAGCAAAAAUACAAGAACAUGUCAGCAUCUAUAGCUUGCCAACAACAUGAGGCUCACUCACAGCAUUUCCUAUCCCAAAGAACCUCAGAAUGCAGGAAGUGAGAAUAGUCAGCUAGAAGGAUGCUGAAGCAUACAGUCCAGUUGCUGAAUUUCAAGGGUUUUAACCAGGGGUGAAAUCCAGCAAGUUCUGACAGAUUCUGGAGAACCGGUAGCGGAAAUUUUGAGUAGUUCGGAGAACCGGCAAAUACUACCUCUGGCUGGCCCCAGAGUGGGGUGAGAAUGGGGAUUUUGCAGUAUCCUUCCCCUGCCACGCCCACCAAGCCAUGCCCACAGAACCGGUAGUAAAAAAAUUUGGAUUUCACCAUUGGUUUUAACACUCUUAUACAACUUUUUAAGCUUCUCCUGAUCACUUGUCUUUCAUGAAUAUGAUCAUGACCAAACCUGUUCCCACUGCUACCACAGUGCUUUAUCCCUGAAAUGUGAUAGCUCUUAUGUGCCACAUCCACAAGAUCAAGUUUAGCCUAGAGUUACCAGAUAUCUGAGCAGGCAAAGGAGGACAAAUAAAAUUAGGAAGGAGGACAAAGAAGGAUAAGAGGAGGAGAUACAGUUUAACAUUUGUAUUCAUAUUCAUUGGAGAGGGAGGGAUGACGCAGAUCUUGGAAACCAGCUGCUGGAGACUUUGGUUUGAGACUUAAACUGAUGACUUGAAAGGGCAAAAUGGCUUUUUUCUGAUGGCAGGUCAAUGAAAACUAUAGUAAAUCAAUUGGAAGGUCCCAUUUCAGAUUUGCUUUGAAUUGAUAUCCAUUAACUGGAUAAUAGAACCUCAUGCUUGUUCCAAUUGCAGGUUGCAUUUUCUAAGGCAUUUUCUCUGCCUUACAGCCACUUCAUUUUAGCGUGUCUGGUGUAAAACGGAAGUCAAAAUAGUGACAUUGUGAUAGUGAUGCUGUGAUGGGAGGCAUCGCUUUAUGUGAAAUGGCUAUCACAGUCCUGCUGCAUCCUGGAGCACUACAUUGCACAAUAAUUUCCCAAGCCCUGAGAUGGAAAUUAGCUCUUUUAAAAGAGAUAUAAGGAAACAUUGAGUAAAUACGUAUCUUCAGAAAACAUAUAAAUUCCUCCUUGAUUUGAGCCACAAGUUGGAACAUGGUUGACGUGUGAGUCAUCAGAUUUUCCCAUCGAAGUACAACUAAAAAUAUGUGUGAUUUAAAAUAAAAAACCCUGCCAUUA